rfam:Methanospirillum hungatei JF-1, complete genome.
GCCGCCAUAACUCAGUUGGUAGAGUGACUGGCUGUUAACCAGUUUGUCACAGGUUCGAGUCCUGUUGGCGGCG